CCGGGACCCGCGCCCGGAGGGGCGGUCGGGAGGUGUGGACGGCCCUGCCCGGGACAGCUCCGCGUGACCUUGGGCCGAGAGGGUUCCCCCCCCAGGCUCCGCGUGUGCCUGCGGGCGCCUGCUGCCGAGGUAGCGCGUCUCCCGGCUCUGAAGCGUGACGUCGCUGGAGAGGUCGCUCGGGCCUCUGUGGUGCCAGAGUCGGGAGCGCUAGGCCGCUCUGGAAAGUUGCUGUAGAAGAAAGGGGAAAAGGAAGACGCUGCUGGAGGAGAUCAGUAGCUCUGGAGACGAUGGAAGUUUACGUUUCUAAAUGGUUUGGAAGGUGCUACAUUAAGAGGAACUGGGAAGAUUCACAAUGGUGGACCUCUGAGGAAUGGAAAAAACAGAAUCAAGACCAGAAGAGCUGGGAAGAUAAGAUGAGCAAGUGGCCCAAGAUGUUCCAGGCAGUGAAGAGACCAAAGGCUGGAAGGUGGCUGGGGUUUCUGGGUGAAGGUGGUGGAUGGAUGGUAUGUGUUGAAGUUAAAGUCUUUCAGGAGUCUCCGAAACAUUGUUGUAAAGCAGAACUCUGUGAGGGCGAGGAGAGCAAGAGAAAAAGUAACAGCAGCACCAUUUUUUUUCAAGUUCUUUUAUUGGUACAUUUUAGGUAUACAAUUCGUUUACAUUUAUCACUGGGUGCUUGUACCUGUACAUGACGUAUCUUGCUUCUUAUUUUUUUCCUCAUUACCUGUGUGCCCUUCACCCCCUCCACCCUUCCCUAUUUACAUAGAUUUCAUUUCCAUUUUUUUCCUUUUCUCAUAGUUUUUCCUUUCCCUCCUUUCCUUUCCCCUUCCCCUCUUUUCACCUCUUCGUCUUUGGACUUUUUUCCUAUUUCAAAUUAUCAAUUAUUCAUUUUAAUCAUUUUAACCCUUGUUUACACUAUCAGUUUCUCACACUGAAACUAUUUGGUAUUUACUUGUGUGUCCUAUUCAUUUCACUUAAGAGUAUGGCCUCUAUAUGCAUCCAUUUAUCUAUAAAUGACUGUAGUUUUUCGUUCUUCAUGGCUGAGUAGUACUCCAUUUUAUAAAAAAAACAAAAACACAUCUACUUUAUCCAGUUUCCAAUUGAUAGGCACUUGGGCUGCUUCCAAGCUUUACCUAUUUUAAACUGUGCCGCUAUGAACAUGGGUGCACAUAUAUCGCUGUGGUAUGAUUCUUUUAAUUCUUUUGGGAAGAUACCCAGCAGGGGAAUAGCUGGGUCAAAUGGGACCUCUAGUCCUAGUUCUUUGAGGUAUCUCCAUACUGAUUUCCACAGUGGUUGCACUAGUCUACACUCCCACCAGCAAUGGAGAAGGUUUCCUUUCUCCCCACACCCCCACCAGCAUUUGUUAUUGGUUGAUUUCUUGAUAGCAGCCAUUCUUUCUGGGGUGAGGUGGAAUCUCAAUGUUGUUUUCAUCUGCAUCUCUCGAAUGACCAGUGAUGUUGAACAUUUGUUCAUAUAUUUGUUUGCUGCUUUUACUUCUUUGUCUGAGAAAUGUCUGUUCAUUUCAGAUGCCCAUUUUUGAAUUGGGUCUUUGAAUUUGGGAGGUCUGAUUUUUUUUCAAUUCUUUAUAUGUUCUAGAUAGUAGUCCUUUGUCUGAGGUACAGCUGCUAAAAAUUUUUUCCCAUAUUGUAGGUUGUCUGUUAGCUCUGUUGGUGGUUUCUUUUGCAGUGCAGAAGCUUUUUAAUAAGAUGAGAUCCCAGUUGUUGAUUCUUUGUGCUAGUUCCCAUGCUACUGAGGUUUUGUUCAUGAAGUCUUUUCCUAUGCCAAUGUCUUCAAAAGUUCUACCGAACUUAUCUUCCAACAAUUUUAGUGUUUCUGUCUUAGUAUUUAGAUCUUUAAUCCACUUUGAUCUUAGUUUAGUGCAUGGUGAUAGGUAUGGGUCUAGUUUUAAUCUUUGGCAGGUUGAAAUCCAGUUUUUCCAACACCAUUUAUUAAAUAGGCUAUCUUUCCUCCAAUGAUGGUGGUUGGCUCCUUUGUCAAAGAUGAGGUGGCUGAGUAUGUCUGGAGUUGCUUCUGCAUCUUCUAAUCUAUUCCACUGAUCCUCAGGUCUGUUCUUUGCCAGUACCAUGCUCUUUUUAACACAGUAGCUUUGCAGUAUAAUUUCAAGUUGGGGAUUGUGAUACCCCCAGCCAUGUCUCUCUUGCUUAGAAUUGCUUUUGCUAUUCUAGGUCUCUUCUUGUUCCAAAUGAAUUUUUGGAUUGUUUUCUCUAGUUCUGUGAAGUAUGUUGUUGGCAUUUCAAUCGGCAUUGCAUUGAAUCUGUAUAGUAGUUAUGGAAGUAUGGCCAUUUUCACUAUAUUGAUUCUUCCUACCCAGGAACAAGGGAUGUCUUUCCAUUUUCUUAUAUCCUCCUCAAUCUCCUUUUUCAGAGUGCUGUACUUUUCAGUGUAGAGGUCUUUUGCUUCCUUUGUUAGAUUGAUUCCUAGAUAUUUCAUUAUUUUGGAUGCUAUUGUAAAAGGAAUUGUUUCCCUGAUUUCUCGCUCAGUGAGUCUUUUAUUUGAGCAGCAUAAAAGUAGGUAGCAGGACUGAGGAUUUAGCUCAGUGCUUCCGGUGCCUGCCUCACAAACACAAGGUCGUAAAUUUGAUCCCCGGUACCAAAAAAAAAAAAAAAAAAGUAGGUCGCAGAAGUAUAAAAGACAAAACCUUCAAAACAAAAAUUUGAAGGGAAAGUUGAGGAUACCUCCAUGGAAAUAGAACAGAUCCACAACAACAAAUGGAAAUAGGGGGAAAAAAUUAAGUUAGCCAGCCAGAUUAUUGAUCAAAUCUGUAAUAGGAACUCCACAGAGUGGUCAGAGAAAAGUGUCAGUAAUUCAAGAAAAGUCUUUUUUUUUUUUUUUUGGCACUGGGGAUAGAACUAACCAUUGUGAAACCACUGAGCUAAAUCCCCGGCCCCAAGAAAAGUCUUUAUGACCGAGAAACAUGUUCAUAGGGCCAGGAUUUAGCUCAGCAGCAUAGCACCUACCUGGUAAGAGCGAGGUCCUGAGUUCGGUCCCCGGUACCAAAAAAAAAAAUGUUCACAGGACCCAAAGAGAGCCCACUACAAGGUAUAUCACCAGUGAGUUUCAGAACAUCAAGGACAAAAAUGUCCUGACAUUAGAAGCAGGUCACAUACUAACUGGAGUCAGAAUGGCUGUGGGCUUCUCCGCAGCAGCAAGUAGAAAUUAGAAGGCAAGAAAACAGCCUUGGGAAAUGUAAAGGAAAAUUCUUUUCCACCCUUCACCCAGGUGAACUAUAAACCUAGUGUAGUCGGCAUCCCUUCCCAGCAAGGAUGUUUCCUGAGAAAUGCCGUCAGGCAAUUUUAUUAUUGUCUGAAUGAACAUUGUACUGUGAGGUCUCAUAAACCUGCAUGGUGUAGGUCAGCUAAUCCAUGUGGCCUCUUGAGCAAUGAAGAGACACAAGUUGCUGCCUUUGUCCUGAGCCUACUAUGUGCUCUAGUUGGACAAGUGUCCCCAGAGGCCCGUGUGUUAUAUAUUGGUCCCCUGCCCAGGUUCUCUUGGAGGUGGAGCCUUAAAGACCUUAAAGGGCCUUGUGAGAGGUCUUAGCUCAUUAAAGGAGUGCCGGUGAGGGGAUAUUGGGGCCUCUGCCUCUUGUCUUCCCUUCUGCCUCCCAGCCCCUCCGUGUGUCUCCUCCGUGUGUCUCGUCGUGCUGUGCUCCACUGCCGCAGGCUGGGAGCAACAGGGCCAAUCAGCCUUGGUCUGAAACCUCCAAAAUCAUGAGCCAAAAUAAAGCUUUCCUGUUUUUUUGUUGUUUUUUUUAAAAAAGAGGAACUGGGAAACAAGAACACAAGGUAUGUGGGGUCUCUAUUAUAUCCACUCCAUGUAAAUCUUUGAUUAUUUCAAAACAAAUUUCUAUUAAAAAAUGAAGGAGGACUCUUCAUUUUCAUAAAGAUCAUGAUCAGACAAAAUGAACUAUAUUGUAUAGAAGUAUGGGUAGUAGAACUGAAGAAAAUAAAAUGAUUGUUAUAAAACUCAGUCUAGUGGCUUCCUCCACAGUGGGAGUAGGAGAUUGUCACUGGGGAAUAGUAAAGGGUGGGUGUUCUUGACCUUCAAGAUCUUUACACUUCUGUAUACUUCAAUUCAUUGAACUGUACAUCUAUGAUUUUAAAACUUUUUAUAAGAGAAGGUGCUGACUAGCAGCCCAUAGUUUGUUGUACCCUAGUCUAGUACUCAAAAAGAUCUCAUAGUUCCAUAAAGUAAAAAUAUUUGACCACAAUAACACUGAAAAUUAAAACUAAAACUAAAAGAUGGUGAGCCUGGAAAUUAAAGCAUCAUGUAUUAAAUAAUUAUUAGGUGUAUGAGUAAUAAAACAAAAAUGGUGAAUUUCUGAAAAAGAACAAUAAUAAAAACUAUGCAUCAGAAAUCAUGGGAUACAUUUAAAGCAAUGAUUAGAGAGUGAUUUAUAUACCUAUAAAAUGAAUGAAUAAAAAUGAGUUAAAUUUCCAACUCAAAAUACUAAACAAAGUACAAAAUAAACAGAUAAAGGUAUAAGAAAGGAAUUACUAAAAAGAUUAAUGAAGUUGAAAACAAAAUCAGAAAUUCAUCAGAUUACUGGCUCCUGAAGAAAUAAAACAGACAAACCACUACAUAAUCAAAGAAGAAAGAUGAAUAAUAAAAUAAGAAAUUAUAUAGAACUAACUGUGAUAGUGGGAAUUUUUUUAAAAGUCACAACUACUUUUGUGUAUCUACCUGUAUGCAUAUAAAUUUGAAACAUAGAAGAAAUGGAUAAUUUCUAAUGCAAAUAUUCUAUACUCAAACUGACCCCAAUCGAAUUUGAAUGUGGUAGUAUAUACUUAUAAUCCCAGCCCUCUGGGAGGCUGAUGCAGGAAGAUCAUAAGUCUUAGCCCAGCCUGGCGACUUAGCAAUUUAGCAAGAUCUUGUCUCAAAAACAUAAAUUAAAGGGCUUGAGAUGUAGCUCAGAAUGAAGGCCCUGGGUUCAAUCCUAGUAUUGCAGGAAAAAAAAAAAAAAAAAAAAAAAAGAACAAAUAACUUCAGUAAUGUACUAGAGAAUGGGCUCUGAGAACACAUUAAGACGUUAAUGCAUCACAAUCAAACUAGAUUUAUAUUGGGGAUGCAAAAUGAUUUCUAUUUUUAAAAAUAAAAUUUACUAUUUAAUAGGCAUCUGGGAAAGAUGAUUUUUCUUUACAGGUGUUAAAAGUUGAUUUUGGCAAAAUUCAACCCAUUGUCAGUUUAAAAAAAAUUGUAAAUAGUAAUGAACACAAGGCAUUUCCAAUGAGGUCAGGAAAUAGGUUAGGGUGCCCACUAACUCCCCUGGAAUCUGGCACUAUCGGAAUGCAACACUCACAGCAGUCAGACUAGAGGAAAUAACCAGAGGUACGGGAGUAGGAAAUAAGUAAGUUUACUCAUAUUUGUAGAUGACAUUGUAGCACAUGUGAAAAAUCCUAGUGAAUCCAUAAUAAAAUGAACUCAAAGAAAAGUCAGUAAAGUAGCAGGAAGUAAAAUAACAUGUAAAACUCAGUAUCACUUAUAUGCACAUACAGACGCUAAUUAGAAGAUACAAUGAAUGCAAAACACCACUGUAAUAAAUGGUAACAAAAAUACAUAAUGAAAAUAAAAAUAUUUAGGAACAAACUUAUCAAGAAAUGCCCAGAACCUAUGUGAAGAAAACUAUAAAAUACUUCUAUGAGACAUAAAAAUAAGUCUGUAAAAAUGGAGAGAUAUUUCUUAUCCUUGAUUAGCACAUCUCAACAUUAUCAGGUUGUAAGUUCUUCCCAGAGUAAGUUACAAAAGCAAUCCCAAUAAAAAUUCCCAUGGACUUUAACUUCUGUAUGCAAAGAGAACAUAGAGUGAGAAAUGCAGAAGAGGAGCGAAGACAGAUGAAAGAGAGAAAAGGCAGAGAGACUCCAAGUGUGGAAAUGGCUUGAUCCCCAUGGCUGAUGGGGAUGGAGGGAGGGGGCCCCUAGUCAGACAAUAGGAGCAGAUUCUCAAAGGUAAGAAACAAAGCCAGCCUAGGCCCUGCAAAGAAAUGAGGACUUCUCAUUUCCCACGGGCAAGUGAACUCUACAGCAAUACUGGGAGUUCCUUCCCCAGUAACACUGAUUUGGCCUUUGGGAGCUAGGGCAGAAAAGCAGCCAGGCCAACCCACAGAACAUGAAAGCACUGUAGGAAGACAAUAGUGCUACAAGCUCUGCUGACCACAAACCUAUGCUCCAAACAAGAGAUGACAUGUAUACAUGCGGUAUGUUACGGAUAAUUACACUGAAGUUAAUUGAAUUUUUAAAAAAUAAGUGAGAAUAGCCAAGAAAGUUUUGACAGAACUAUCAUGAAAGAAAUUUGCCUUACCCAGAUUGAAAAGUUUUAAAAGGUGCAAUAAUGGAAAUGGAAUAGUAUUGUCUCAGGAAUAAACAAACAUAUUGAUGAAACAGAAAUGUGAGCCUACAUAUAAAAUUAUGUAUGUUAUAAAGAUCAUUAGAAGCUGAUAGAUAAAAAUUAUUCAAUAAAUAAUACUAGGACAGUUGGUAAAGUAUUGAGGGAAAUUAAAUUAGAUCUUUGCAGUAUUAAAAGUAAAUCAUAGCUAGAUUAAACAGUUAAAUAUUUUGACAACAAUUAAGCUUCAUUGUCAACUUGUCUUGUGAGCCACUUACAGGAGUAGUAAAGCAUACAUUACUCAAGAAUGGGUCAUGGAGGUGGUUCAUGGCUCCUUCCUCUCUGGUACUGUUCCCUGCUCUGCUUCCCAGCUGCCAUGAACUAAGAAUUUUUGCUCCACUGUAUCCUUUUGCCACGAUGUUCUUAUCUAGGAGCCAGCCAAGCAUGGACUGAAUCUCCUGAAACCAUGAGCCACUCUAAACUUCUCUUCUUUUAGGUUGUGAGUGUUAAGUAUUUUGUUCCAGCAACAGGGAAGCUGAUACAUUUUUUAAAAGCCAAAUAUAAAAUAUUUAUAUAAUCUGAAGGUAGGGGGAAAUUUUCAAAGCAUUAUAGCAACCUUAAAAAUCCACAAGAUAUAGGACUCAUAAAUAAAGACAAUCAAAAUCAUACAUAUAAAAAUAUGCUAAACAAAAUAUGAAUAAUUUGGAGAAAUAACUGCAAACUUACAACAUAGAACUAACAGUUGUAAGAUGUGAAACAUCAUUCAGACAGAAACUUUUUAAAAAUGGGAAAUAUAAAUAACUAAAUGUUUCAACACCAAGAAUGAUCACAAGAGUUUCUAAAAUAUAAGUUCUGUAACAUUGAAAGCAAUCACUUCUGACUGAAAAGUUACUCCUUCAUGAAAUGGUCCAUUGGCUCAUGAUAGCUACAGAAAAUUGAGAAUCUAAGCUGGUGUAAUACUUUUUUGAACUGCAAUUUUUUAAAACUUUGGACCAUGCCAAAGGAGUAUAAAAUUCUAUUGUUCAAUUAUUCUACAUGCUCAUCCUUGAGAUUACAAAACAUUUUCCAGAGUUAAUAGAGAAAUUGGCUUUUUUUUUUUGGUACUGGGGAUCGAACUCGGGUCCUUGCACUUGCACAGCAGGCAGAGAAACCACUGAGCUAAAUCCCCAGCCCAGAAAUUGGCUAUUUUUGAUGAACCCUUAUUCAGAAGGUAAAUUUUAAUAUUCUAACUGAUGCUAGAAACAAAGGAAAAUGUACAUCUGUCAUGAUAAACAUAAGUUCUAUUGGAUCCAGAAUUUUAAGACCUCGUGGACUCUUCUGGACCACGGAGGCCAUCAGAUAUUAUUUUGAAUCUCAGAUUUGAAGUAAGUGCAAUUGACCUGAUUUUGCUUACCCUGAUUUAAACUCAUAUAAAUUAGUGUGAUGGUAUCCAGCUUGAGCCCAUCUUCUCUGAACACUUAAAUGUGGACCCAACUCCAAGGCAGAAGCAGUAAACUGUAGUUGUCUUAAACUAGUGUCAGUCCAUACAUAGAUACAAUUGAGAGGUAUAUUCAUCCAGAGUAAUGGAGUAGGAGGUUGUUGUCAACUUGAUUUUCUGGUUUGUCCUUCCUAUGUUCCUUUUUGAAAUGAUAAGUCCUUAUUUUGUAUUUAAAUUUUUCCUCACUUUUAUGCACAAAAUUAACAUACUAUGUUUUUCACCUAAUUUUAUCUCCAGGAAAUUAUCAGUACAUGGUGCUCCACUCUAUUUUGUUUCAUGGCUGUACAGUACUCCAUUUUGUCCAUGUACCAAGUUGAUGCAACCAGUCUUGAUUAAUGCUUAACAAUCACAAAUAUUUCAUUAGUAACUGUGUAUAUGUAUUUUAUAUUGUUUUAUGUAUGUUCAAAUUAAAUUCAUGGAGAAAUUUCUCUGUUCAGGUUUGGUUAUAAAUGAUUGGUUAGGAUUGCCAAGCCCCCUGCCCUGAGGUUAUGCCAUUUUCCAUAUCCUUUGGCAAUGUAUAGCAUUACCUGUUACCUAACCAGCUACCAACAGAGUGCACAUUGCAGAAUGUAUUGCCAGUUUUAUGGGUAACAGAUGGAACAUCAUUGUAGUGUUCAUUAUUUGUUUUUCAUAUUAAUGAUAUUGCAUUUUUAAUAUUUCAUUUUUACAUCUCUUUUUGAGUAGUUGUUGAAGUUGUUUGUUCAAAUCUGUCCAAUCAUCUUCUUGUGUCUACUUUUUAACUGGGUUGUCUAUUAAUGAGCUGUAAGAGUUCUUUACAUAUUCUGGUCAUAGGUUAUAUGCAUUGUAAAUAUGGUCUGUUUAAGGACUACUUUUUAUUUUAACGAUGUCAUUUAAAGUUCCAAUUUUUUUUUAUGUCAUUUAAAGUUCCAAAUUUUGAGGGAAUCUCAUUUAUCAAUUUUUUUCUUUUAUACAUCGUGUUUUUUGUAUCCUAGGAAGUCCUUGCCUACACUAAAUUCAUAAAUAUUUUCCCUUAUAAUUUCUUCUUAUAGUUUUAGUCUUUCAUAUUUAGGUUCACAGAUCCUUUCAAGUUAUUUUUAUGUAUGGAAAUAAAAGAUUGAGGUUAAUAUUUUAUAUACAGAUACCAGGUGUUCUAGUGCCAUUUGCUGAAAAUGCUAUCUUUUCCUCUGCUCUUGAAUUGAGUUUAUAUUCUAUAAAAUGUUAAUGUUAAAUAAUCCUUCAAAACUCAGUGGACCAUAUAUGUGUGGUUCUAUUUGUAGAUUCUCUGUUUUAUUCCAAUGAUCUAUAUGUCUUUCCUUACACCAACACUGCCUUGAUUACUGUAGCUUUAGAGGAAGUCUUCAAAUUAGGUACUAAACAUCUUCCAACACUGUUUUUUUUUUCUUUUUCUUUUUACUUUUCUAGGCCCUUUAUACUCCUACAUAACUUUUAAAUUUCAAUAUCCAGUUCUUCAUUUAUAGCAGGUAUACACAGAUCUGAAUUUUUAUAUAUACCUUGUGUUUUCUAAUCCUGCUAAAUUCAAAUACAAGUUCUAGGGGCUCCUGGAGAUUUCUUAGUAUUUUCUCUGUAGAUGAUCAUUUUAUCUACAUAUAAAGAUUUUGCUUCUACCUUGCCAAUCCUAUCCUAAUUGUGUCAUUUUAUUGCCACUAUUUUGGUUUGGGCCUAUGUUUCAAAGUUUAAUGGACAGAUGAAGAGUAGGCAUAUCUGCCCUUGUUCCCCACCUUAGGGAGAAAGCAUUGUUUUCUCUAUUCAUAUAUGGUGUUUCUCCUGGAAGUAUGGAGUACAUGUCUUUUAUCUGUUGAGAAGGUUCUGUUCUACUUCUAGUCUCCUAAUAGCUUUUACCAUGAACAGCUGUAGAAUUUAGUCCAAUACUUUUUCUGCAACUACUGACAGGAUCGUGUGGCUUUUUCCUUUCCUCUGUUAAAAUGAUGACUUUUGGGGGUGGAUCUUCCAAUGCUGAACCAACACUGCCAUCCCUAUAACAAAACCACUUUCUACAUACUGCCAGAACUGACUUCUAAUAGUUUGUUUUCUUAAACAAAUUUCUACUUAUGUUCAUACUUUUUUCUUCUAUUAUCUUUAUCCAGUUUUAGGAUUAGCACAGUGUUGAUUUCCUAAAAUGGGAGAAGUGUUCCUUCUUUUUUCUGCUUUAAUUGUUUGAUAUAAUUUAUCAGUUAAAAUGUGUAUGAGCCUGCUGUUGUCAUAUAGGUAGGUUUUCAAGCUAGGAAUAUACUUUCUUUAAUAGGUGCUAUUCAAAUUUUAUAUUUCCUUCAGAGUUAGUUUCAUUAAUUUGUCUUCCAAGGUACUUCUUAGAAGUUGUCAAAUUUAUUUCAAAAAGAGAUUUUUGUAAUAUGCUUUCUAUAUCCUUUUAAAUUCUGUAAAAUCUGUGGCAAUUUCUCCUAGAUCUUGAUAUUGUAAUUUUAGAAAUGUAUAACUGAUAUUGUGUAAUAGGAAGAAAAGGUCUAAAGGAGCAGGGGAAGUGGGAGGGAUAGGGGGAAGGAAAGAAGGGAAAAUAAAAAAUAUGAGAAAAGGAAAAAAAUGGAAACAAAUAGGGAAGCGUGGAGGGGGUGAAGGGAGGGCAGGGGAAGGGGAAAAAAUAAGAACCAAGAUACAUCAUGUAAAGGUACAAGAUCCUAAUGAUGAAUGUAACUGUAUUGUAUACCUAAAAUGUACCAAUAAACUUAAUGGAAAGAAAGAAAAAAGAAAAGAAAACAGAAACUCAAAGCAUUAUGGGGAUCGUGGAUUUUCUUCUUUGCCUCUCUAUCCCCGAACUGCCUUGUUCUUACUUUCAAGUGGCUUAUGGAAAGGAUUAAAAGUGAAGGGUGAAAAUGAAAAAUAGGUGCUGUUUCUAUUGUCAGCCUUGGAAGUUCUGUGAACAGACUGAAAGUUCCUUCAAGGUCUAUGAAAAUAUUAGCAGAUGCCAAAAGGCCAGCAGCCAAGAUUUGUGUCUUUGUGCAGGAACUGAAUAGCUACCAACAGUUAGAAAAAUUUUAAAAACCUUGGCAAUGACAUAAAAGUCCUGUGAAAAGCAGUGAGAUCGAGAGAAAUGCUUUGAAAUAGAUUUAUGAACUUGUAAAAGAAUGUUUUCUACAGAUCCUAAGCCUCUAACUAUAUAGAAAUCUGACAUUUUAAGAUUAAGGAAGAACAUUUAUUUAUUCUCUACAUUAGUAAUAGUGGUUGAAGUAAACCUGAGCUAACUUAGGCCAUUAGAGAAGGGAGGUAAUGUGCAUAAUUGUUAGCAAAAAUUAAUGUUUACAACAAGCAAAUAUGUAAGUAUGUAAAACUAUUCUAGGUUGUCAGAAUAUUAACCCAUGACAUCUUAUAAGCUUUUUAUUAUUUUGGUAGUAAAUUAAUUAGUUACAUUCAGAAUAUUAUAAUUGACCUUCUUAAUUAUUUUAUGCUUCCAGAUAUUUAAAUCACAAAUAUAUGGUUUUGUUCAUCUUUUUAAAAAAUAUAGUCAACAUAAUAAAAAUAUUUAAUCUGUUUAUAAGAAUUGAAAUCAAUGGCAAGAGUUAAAGGUGCUUUUUGUACAAAGGAAUUUGAAUUUUUAAGAUAAAAUAUAUAUGAUAAAGUUGUGGUUCAGGAAAAUCUUUGGGAUUUAAUUACUGAUAAAAUUAUAAAACAUGUGGGCCAAGGAUUUAGCUCAAUGGUGCCACCACCUGCCUCACAAGCGCAAGGUCCUGAGUUCCAUCCCCAGUACCAAAAAAAAAUAUUAUAAAACAUGUAACUACCUCAUUAAUUCUUAGUUAAUAAUUUCCUUCAUUAUAAGCAGAACCCAUAGUUUGAUUUAUCUUUAUGAAGAAUGAAUUUUUAACUUUAUUUUUAUCAGUACAUAUUUGCAGUUCAUAAUGAUCGCAUUCCUCAUGGGGAGUUGGCACAUGUACAUAACACAUCUUAAUUCUUUUUUCAUCCUCUUCCUCUUCCUUCCCUUCCCCUUCCCUACAUCUCUUUGUCCACUUCCCCUUUGCAAAGGAUCUAUCUGUUUCCUAUUAUCUAUCUUUUAUUUUGUUCUUCAAUUUAUUUAUACUUUGGUUUUCUCAUAUAAGAGAAACCAUGCGAUAUUUAAGCUUGGAGGAAUGAAUUUAUUAAUUUUAUUUCUGUAAGAACGUCUAUUAAUAUACUUGGGUGUUAUGUCAGAAAACAAACAGUAGAGGGCACUUUAGUUCUCUAACAAAAUAAGCUUAGUCCAAAAUCUUAUAUAAAUCAAUGAAAUAGACAAUAAAAUUUGAACUACCCAAUAAAGGUUAUAGAAAAGUGAAGGCAAGUUCCUGGCUUCCCAUAGCCUAAUAAAAGAUAUGAUGAGCAGAUGAGCAGCAGUUUCUGUCUUUAGUCAAUCCAAAUAACAAUUGGGUGUCACAUGAAAAAUGCAAAUGUUCUAAGAAUUGCAAAUUAGUGAAUCCAGCAUUUUGAGAACAUUUCAUUUAAAAAACUCACACUUAUUUUAAAUUGGCCAAUCUAUUGAAUGUACUUGAUUUAAAUCAGUAAAUUGUCAUUAUCCAGAAUCGCAAGAAGUAACUAUAGCAGAAGUAGCAUAGUUCAUUUCCUUAGACAUGUUACUUAUUCAUAGUUCCCUCUAAAAUCAUUUUUAUCGUCAUCCUUGUCAUUACUGUCAUAAUCUAAUUUCAUGGUAUAAUGGCUACUUUCACGUAUCUUCCACUUUAAUUUUUCCAAGAUGAAUAUAUGAAACAAAAAUAUCAGAAAAAAAUACAUGAUUAAGUGUAAUUGUAUUGUUCAGUGUGUAAAUGGCUUCAGACAAAUUGUGGUAACUUGUGCAAUUUUCUCGGGCUUAGUUUUUACCUGUCAUAAAUGAAGUUCUAAAUUUAAUGAUGAGAUUCUAUAACAUUGUCAUCUGUUCUUAUUUUGUAUAUUAUUCUAGCAAAUUUAGUUAUCUGUGCCCUAGGUCUCAACAGAUUUGUGGCAAAUCUUAACUGUUUUAGGGCUCAAAGACCCUACAUUUUUAUAAAAGAUAGGGAGCUUAACUGCCUAAAAAUGCUAUAAUGGACACUUUACUCAAAAUGACCAUUCAUUUCAGGAGGUUCAAGGGCCCACAGCAAUCAAUGCAUAGGCUUUACAAACACUACACAAGAAUCUCUGACAGAGGCGAGGGUUACAUGGCUCCUUCGUACACAUUUGGGUGCUUAGUACUAGCAACUUUGGAUGUCACUGUUGCCUCAAGAUGAGCAGUGAAGCCGGAGAGAAUGUUGACAUGCCACAAUUCUGGACUUCAUCCCAUAAACCACAGGGCGUAAUCUGAAGUGUUUAAAUAUACAAGUGGAAAAUGUGCAUUUUAGGAAGUAAAAUCAGAGAAUAGAACAUUUUUAAAAAAUAGAAAGAAAAGGAAAACAGGAAGUAGGAAGACUGUCAGUCUAUUGGCUUCAUAGCUCAGGUGAGAUACAUUGAUAACCUGUUUUUAAAAGUCUUCCAAAAUUAGGUGUGUUCCCUCUUCUAAGAUAGGCCUACUUUAAUCCUGCACAAUAAAUAAAGAGACAAAGUUUUCAAACACUGGAGGACAUUUGGAAACCAUACAAAUGACUGUUUUGCAAUUUGCGAAAUCAUUUUCUACUGGAAGCAGCAGGUAGAUAUUAGCAGCCUUGCUUUUAUGCCCUUUUCUCUAUGUGGAGUACUCCAAAAGCGUAAGCAGCUUAGGAUCCACUGGCAACUCCUCCUGAACAGACUGGCAUGGAGGGCUUUGCUCACCAUCCACAUCCACCUCAGGGACAAGCUCUGACCACUUACGUUACAAUGCUUGCGGCAGAAACAUAAAAUUUAUGGAGGCUGGGUCAGUCAGGAAAUUCCUCUCCAUUGCCAGACAGCUAAACUAAAACAGCAAGCAAGCAACAUUUCUGAAUGGAGAGGUUUAUCACAGGCAUUUAGUAGAAUUAAAUGAAAAAAUAUGUAUCAGGGUCCAUAGAUUGUCUCCUAGAAAAUUUGCAUAAAUCCUUAUAUUGCCACACAUUGUGAAUCUCAUUUGUUUCCUGUAAGGAAGUGGUGAGGAUGGGAUACAGAGGUGGAAUAAGAAGACUUUGACUAAGGGCCUCCAAGAAUGGGGCCAAAAUAAAGCAAAGUCAAUAGAAUUGAAGAAAAUUAGGUUUAAGUAUUUACUCAUUGAGUCUACUCAAAAUGUGUUAUUUAGACUGAUGUAGGAAGUGAAACACAGUUCUAAACUAUUUAUAGAACAAAUCUCACGUGGCUCUUUGGAGACACCCUCCAUACUUCCCCGGGUGGCCCAGGCCACACUCCAGCCUUGUGCCUGUCCACUCCUGCCUCAGGUCUAUGUUCAGUGGACAGCAGGCUGAUGGACACACCCUGCCUCACAAUGUCUCUGUGGCAUGAUGUCCCCUUGAGCCAGAUGCCCCUCCCCUUGACUUUCCACAUGGUACAAUCCUAUUCAUCCCCAAAUCGCAAUCCCAAAGCCAUCUUCUCUUGUUAAACUCAAGUGAGCCCCCACUGUCUACUUCCUGCAAGCAGAAUGGAUCACCUUUCUCUGCCAUCUGGGCCUGUGCUCAGAUGCCAAAUGGCCACCACAACAUCCACAAGUACAAGUAAUACGUCCUUCUUCCCACUGUCUGUCCACUCCUCGAAGAAGGAGCCUGGUCAAAUUCCUGGUGUCCCCCUGCCUCCUAGCACAACAUUGGCACACAUUAAAAAACAGGUCAAUGAAGGACCCUAGUUAGCAAGACAGACUCCAUAUUGCUGUUUGACCCACCUGCCUGUCCUUUAGAUGAACUCAGAAGGAGGAAGCUUAGAAACUUCCUCCCCUUAACAGUUAAUCAACUUUUGUUUUACAAAUGUUCUAACAGCAGGACAUUCUGCUUCUGUACCUUUUGCUUGCUUUACUAGUUCUAUCCCAUAGGGGGGGCCUAGAAACUGUUGGCCCCAAAGGUGUAUAAAACAUGUUUGUCUCCCCCCAGUUGAGGCUGGAGUCUGAUGCUCAGCUCGGGUCCCGGCCGGUAAUAAACUCCUGUGUGGAUUUCAUAUCGGUCUCUGGUUGGUUCUCUCUCCCUGGGUCUAACAGUCAAUAUUUUUUAAAGGAUGGAAUUCUAGUCAAAAGGCUAUUGGAAUAAUCCAGGCAAAAGGCUUAUAUGAGCCUAAAGAUGGAAGAUAGAACUAGGAAAGAAAAUUCAAAACUAUCAAAAUGGAAUAGAAUACAUUAAAUGGGUGAUGAAACACAGAAAUGAGAGAUAAGACCUCGGAGAGGAUUCUGACCAAAUAUUCUGCCUCAAAGUCUGAGAUGCUAUAAACCUGGAAAGAGUAGGACAAAAAGAGAAAAGUUAAUUUCUGUUUCAGACAAGCAGAGGAUGUCCAUGUGGGAGUGUUAAGCAGAGCACUGUGCAUUCAGAAUUGAAGCUGUGAGAGAAGCUCAGGGCUUGGAGCAGGACAGGAACCUGCCGAGCAGGGGCUGCCAAGAGAAGGGAGCCAAUGGCUGCAUUUGGGGUCCUGCCUCUAUUUACCAGAAAUAGGGGAACAAAGAGAAGAACUCUGAUGAGAGAUCAAAUGCAGAACUCCAAGAAAGGAGACCAAAGGUGUGGAAAUUGCCCCUGAGCUACAAGAGGACCAAAGAGGGUGUGGUCAUGGCAACCUCAGAGUGGCUCCUCCUGAACCGUGAGCCCAAAGGGGAAGGGUGGGAUGGGGACAGUGAGCAUGGCAUGCUCCUCAAGCACCAGUCAUAACAGGAGGGAGGAUGCUCUGCAAACUCCAGGAAUCAUUUCUCAUUGUGACCUACAUCGCCUUUUAACUGUAUGUUGUUUUAAACAAGUUUCAUUAAAGUUGGAGUGGCCCAAAGUUACCAAGAUAAAAUUUGCUUUUUCAUUUGUGAUGUUAAAAAUAGAAUCUAUAGAUAAGAUUGGGCUCUCUUUCUCUUUCUCCCUCUCCCUCUCCCUCUCCAUCUGGUACUGGAGAUUGAACACAGGGCCUUUGCAACGAGCAAUGUCCACAGCUUUGAGGCAGGGUCUUGCUAAUUCACUAAAAUUGGCCAGGCUAAGCUUGAUCUUGUGGCCCUCCUGCCUCAGCUGCCCAGAGUGCUGAGAUUACAGAUGACCACCACCAUGUGCAGCUUUUACUUUCUUUUAAAGUACAUCACUUAAUUCUCAAUGUACAUCAACUUAUUUUUGUGAAUUUUUUCCCUAAAAAGAUGAGAAAGAGAGACUAACAGUAAAUCCAGUUGAAUCACAUAUGCUGUCCUGCCUAUCUAGGGUGGGGUCAGGGUAUGAUUGUGAGCCCUUGAAAUGAUCAUUUCUCACCUGGCUUCCCUCCUAGCACUCCAGAUUGCAGGUUGUAUUAUUGUUCAGCAGAGCAAAGGGAGCGCUGGGAUGUCUGCCUUCCUUGCAGCUGAGCACUUUUUAUUGUCUCCCCAACUAGCAGAGAGGUCUGUGGAUUUUACAUCACAAUCAUUCAGGAUCAUGGCUCUCUUUAUCCCAUGCCAUUUCCAGCUCAGUAGGUUUCACUGUACUGAAUUUAGAACUGAAGACUUGUGUGUUUUAAUUUUGUUUUAACUAAUUACAUUUUAAAUGUAUUUUAUGAAGCAGCUUUGGGAAGUUUAUUAAAAUCCAUUUAAAAGAGCCGGGGAUUUAGCUCAGUGGUUUUGCCGCCUGCUGCACAAACGCAAGGACCAGAGUUCUAUCCCUGGUACCAAAAAAAAAAAAAAAAAAAAAAAUCCAUUUAAAAAGAAGGCUUUGCAGAGUUCAAAUAUACUAAAUUAAAUGAAAUAUUCAGGAUUACCUCAUUUAGUUGUUGACUCCCUAGAAAUUAUACCUGGUGGAUUUCUGGAAAGAAAAUGGUUCUUUCCCAGAGGAAGGAAAAGGAAACUAAUGGAAAAAGCUUAAAGAAGCAGAACAAACUGAGGAAGGAGACUCUGCCUCUAGUAAUAGCAGAGGAGGCAACGCCUGCUGAAAACCAGUUUUGAGAAAAGUAUCUUAUUUGCAAUCUACUUAGAUAUAAUUUACUUGCUUGAUUGUUCAGUAUUUAGGAACACAGUAGUGUUUCCCUGCUAGAAUGUGAGCUGCACAAGGCAUGGGUCUUUGUUUUUGCUGCAGUGACCUAAGCCUCCAGAAUAGCAUCCAGCACAUACCAGCUGUCACGUAAUCACUGGUAUCUGGGUGAGUGAAUUAUCUACAAACUCUUCCGUCUUGGAAGUGCUUACUUUCUUCCUCAGAGGAGCUCUCUUUAGGGUCCCUCCUGCACCUCUCCCUCUUCCUGCCCAGUGUCCUUGCAAUGCAUCUGAGUUCCCUGGAGAACAGUCUUAGGAGGCCAUGGUCAGCUCCCCGGAGAACAGUCUUAGGAGGCCAUGGUCAGCUCCCCCUCCACAGUGUAGUAAAGAGAAUCCCUGGGGCACAGUGACGAGAAAGUGAGCCUGUGGCCCUCUUGGUCUUAGCUGGAAAGGAGAGGGGAAUAAAAAAGGAAAACCAAUUCAAGGACUUAAUCCUACUGAGACCACAAACUGGGAGAGAACUUUGAGUGUGGGUGCCACACUGUACCCCAAGUUGCUCUGAUUUGUUGUGGAUUGUCUCAGGACUGAUGGUAAAGGCUGGAGUGAAAGGCUCUGUAGAUAAUAGUCUCUCCCCAUCCCCUUACUGAAAGAGUACACUGGCUACAGUAUUGGAUUGAAAGAGAUAAGAAACUAAGUCAUAAUUCUGAGAUAUCUCAUGACCUGCCUGUCCGCGAGUGACAGCCUGGCUGGCAAAAUCAAAAUGGCCCAAGAAGGGGCACUGUCAAAGCACAAGGGUGCAGGAGAGCAGACAGGAGGAGGUUGUACUUGCUGACCCGCCAGACCCUCCUUCGCCCACCACCUCUCUUCUCCUCUCUUAUCCUUUCUGUAAUCUUUUGCAUACCUAAUUCCAUCCUAGCAUGAGCUUUUUGGAGGACUUGAACUGAUUUACCCUCAACAGCCUGCUAACUAAAAUCCUCCAGUAUCGGUGCUGAAGAAAGAGACUGUGGGUAAAUGUGCUAUCUUCUAAAAGCCUUACUGGGAAUAAUGUACCCCCAAAUGUAGAUGGCAGGUGCCAAUUCUGAUCAUGUGAUGGCAUCACUGAGGGAGGUUAAUGAUCCGUUUCAUAGGUAGCUUUGGAAUAUCUUUAAACCUUUUAAAUAGGUAUAUGAUGUCAGAUGUGUUUGCAAAUCUCCCUGAAGAAGGUGGAGAGCUUUUAGCACAUUCAUCUACAAAGUUAUCAACAGUGCCGGUUAGUUAACUUGGUAGUUUGUUCACAAGUGACGGUAACUUAAAAUCUACAUUACAUAACUUAUUUUAUGCAAUAAUAAUGAUGCUUCUAUUUCCCACCCCAUGCUAAAUGAACUUCAGUUAUCUCUAGAGCUCUGCCAACUAAGACUUCAGUACACAGAGAACCAGUGCUACAUCCUUUACCUAACACCACCCUUUAAAAGAAAUUAUGCCCUAAUUUACAAAGUUCCUAGCAGAAAAGAAAAGUACUUGAGAAAUCAGUAGGUUAAUUUUUUGUUUGGGGACUAAAUCUCAGUUGAAGAUGCUUCAACUCCCAGCCCAGACAGUGCCGCCCAUUAACCCACAGGGAGGAGAGGCGGGAAGCUCCUCCAGCAGCUGUUCUCUGGGACAAUGUUUCCACCAGCAUCACUUCCAUCAGAAGCAGGCAGGACAUCUGUGUCAGCAGCACAAGUGUUCUGUGUCAGCAUCUCUGUUUCACACUACCCGCUAAGUGCAUAAAGUUUAAUUAGACCAAAGGCCAGGAGUGGUUUGUUGAUAGCUCCACCUGGAAGCUAUGGCCUCCUAGGAGAGUAUAGUUCCUGCCCCACCCUAGGGAACCCUCUAUGUCAGGAAAAAGCCAACCGCUCACAGCUCAUGGCUUGUUCCCUACAGGAAACUAUUCUCAAAAAGUAAUAACCUCACCCCUGAAUCUAGUGGAAUAUUUAUGGGGAGCUGGGAAUCCGUAAUUUGUCUGGACACUCACAGACACCUCUGUGCUCUGCUACUGCUGACCUCAGCCAAGGCCCCUGAGUUCAUCCCAGGCAAGUUUAUCUGCUUUCUCUCUGACUUCAGUGGCAGGAGGGAAGCAGACAGCAGACAGCCUGAGCUCUCUGUCAGGCGUCAGGCAGGACUGAGGGAAGGGACAGAUUGUGCCUCUCACAGACAGUGGUGAGAGUCCUAGGAUGAAAUGAGAACUCCCCUCCCUUCCCCUCUUCUCUCAGUGUUGAGUCUGCAUGAAAAAUACUUGCUCUGGAAUCUCCAUUUUUUUCUGUUCCUAGUAGGAUUGAGUGAUCAAUCUUGAAAAAUUCAGAAGAGAUGCUGCAGGGCAGGGAAAGGGCAAUGCAGAUUUUGGUCUUUCCAGUUACCAAGGGGAGAGUUAAACCCAGUAAGUUUUAGAACAUAUCGAAGUACUUGAAAACCUUUUUAAGAAAUAAACAUAAGAGGGGACUUAAUAAAACUGUGCUAAGAGGAGGAGAAAUCAGAGGUUUCGCUGUGAUGAUGACAAUCAGAUACUAACUUCUAACAAAACAGUUACUACCUCCAGCUACUACUUUCCUGACUACUAGCUGAGUGCCUUAUAUUUCCAGAUCUCCUGGAACCUUCUUUUUCUAAGAGGAACAAUCACCUACAUCCUGUGUUAACAUAUCUGUUCUGAAGCUCACACACACACACACACACACACACACACACACACACACACUCCAGCACUUUUAAAGCAUUACUCUUCAUUGCAGAAAUGUCAUAGAAUAGCCAAGAAAUUUAAGACAGUUAUCAUGAUUUAGACCAAGUAAAAGCUCUUGUCUUGGGUUUUAGACAUUUGCUUGAAAAAAUCUCUAUGCCAGGCCCUGACAGAGACUCAGAAAGGACAAUGGAUCAUUUAGUGUGGGGCCACUCAUGUCCUCAACCAGUAGCACUUAGACUAUUCCGCCAAAUGACUGAGUAAACCCCACUAGUUCUUGCAAAAUAUGAUAAACAUGAUUUCUUCUGUUUUGCCAAUGUCUAGUUAAUAUUUUAAAUAUAUACUUUCUUAGCAUUCCCGGAAUUACAGACAUGAGGAUCAGGGUAAAAAUACACAGCAUUCGGUGGCACAUGUUACUUUGUUAAUGCAGAGUAACAGUUUUCACUUGGACUGCAUCUUUUUGAAGGAUUGCAAAGUGCUUUACUCCUGUCACUGCAGAGACAUUAUUCAAUCACUUUGAAGACAUAAAGAACCAAAAAAAAAUCUCUGAAAAUGAAAGAAGAGAAAUGCUUUUUCUACUAAUAAAAAGGAAAAGGGAAGGUCAUAGGAAAUUACAGACUGCUGGUCUUAUAUGAGCACCAAAACAAAUGACCAAAUAAGCCUCUACCACACCUCCUAACUAGCAGUGAACACAACUCUUUAGUGAGCAUCACACCAACUAGGAUUAUGUUGGGCUUUGUUUCUGUUAUGUUUUGUUUUUUGUUUGGAAUCACACUUAAUGUCAACAGGUUUUUGAAUCCAGCAUUAAAUAAACAUGAUGCUAUGCAUGAGGAGUGAGAAGACAUGGGUCUAGCCUUGUCUCUUCCACAUGAUUCCGAGUAAACCUCACUUAUCCCUUUAUUUGAUGGAUUACCCACCAGUAAAUCAGAUAAUACUUUUAACUUGUCAGUGUCUCUUUAACUUCAGCCCUUAAGAAGCUUAAAACUGGGACUCCAAAUCCCUAGGAUAUUUCCAUCUCUAGUAAACACUCCACCUAGACUGGCUACCAGACUCACAGGAUCCCACUGCUGGAAUUCGUCCCUUUGGUAUGGCAGGUUCAGCAUGGAAAAUGGUCACAUCUGAAAUCUAGGGUCCGACUGCGUGUCCCUAGCUGAUCAGUGCAGUGCGCACACUUCAUUCAAACAGGCUCAAUCAAAGGCUUUCUCCCAGGACACCAAAUGGAAAGACAGAAAGACUCACAAAUAUUAAAAAUGGUCAGUUUAGAGAGUCCAGAAGACAUUUUUUAAACUGUGAAAGAAAGGAAUGGAACAAAAAGGAAUGGAAUGGACCGGGAGUGCUGGGAUCCAGAUGUUCAGCUGUACAACUCUCCACCUCCAUCUGGAGUCUGCCAGGUGCCCUCGUGUUCUGAGACCCAGGCCUGUGGGUCAUCCUGAGGGCCCACAAGUGGAUCCUGGCUCCAGGAGGUACCAGGUGAGGGAACCACUUUGCUGACUGCUCAAUGUUUCUUUCAUGGAUCAGAUGAGCUUAGGCUACCAGGAUGAUAUAUGAACACGCUGGUCCCUGUGGGAGAACAUCACUACCAGGAAGAACAAAGUUGGUUUUGUGAGACUUUUGUUACACACUGAUGUUUAUGUUACUCAUAUAAAUAUAUAGAUAUUUGUGUAAAUAUUACAUAUACAGCAUUUUAUAUAAUGUAGAAUUUUUACAAAUAUAUUUUAUGUAUUCAGUUUACAUCAAACAUAUUUGUUACUAUGAGUUGUGGUAAAACAUAUGUUCCUUGGUGAUCUAAAAUACUAGUCCCUAAUAGAUUAACGUGUAAAACCAGUGUUGGUAAAUGGCAAUAGCAGUGCAUAAUACAAUUAAAGUUUAAUUAUCGAAGCCAAAUCAAUAAUUUGGAAAAGGAAGAUAUGAAGGAAAAACAUCUAUAUAAGAUGUUUACUUAUAAUUUCACUCAUGCCAUUUUGGAUGCAUCAGUAAGUCUAACAAGCAGAAUAAAUACAUUAUCCCUUCUAGAACUAGACAGAGCUGGAAACUUUCAGCUCAGCUUGAGACAGACAGGUAGUAAAGGCACGGGUGCACAAGGUCUUCUCUCAAGCAAAACCAACCAAAUUUCCAUCUCAAGGCCCCACUCAAGUGUUGGAGCCUAAAUGCUAAUGCAAAGAUCUCAAAGUCUGACCUUCAUAUUUCAUCACUUCUACUCCAUCUACCAUUUUGUAUUGGCUUUUUCAGGUCUAUCAUGUUAUUGAUCAAUAACUGAAUUUUUAAAUCCUGUAAUUUUAUCAUUUAAUUUAGAUCUCUUAAUUCCAUAUGGAAAAUAAAAUUAGUCAGAAUAAAUAAAUAGAAAUCAAAAACUCGAGCAAUUUUACAUUUGUAUGACUCCAAGACAUCAUAGGUAUGUUUUUAAAUCACUAAUUCCUCCAGUCAGUCAUGUUGAAAGUCAACUUGUUCUGUAAAUGUCUAGUCAAGCCUAAAAAUUCAAACUCUGUGACUCAGGGCUAAAAGGAAAGUUUUAAUGCUUGAAAAACAUCAUCUACCUCAUGAUUUUUUUUUUUUAUUAUCAGCUUACAGGAGCUCAUUAUAUCAGUAUUCAUUCCUCUUCAAAAUGCAUCCAUGACUUACUGUCAUAUGUGCCGUAUCUCCUUCAACUAAAGGUUAUUCUCUUUGAUAUUUCCGAACACACACUCCUUGCUUUAAAAAAUGGAGAGUAACUGACAAGUGUGAGAAAAUAAGCUUAAUCAUCGUAUUUUUUGACACUAGCAUCACUCUUUCUGCUGUUUUUUCUUUGAGACACUGCGCCUCUUUACGCUUGUGCUGGGUCUGCAUGUUUACGACAUCUAUCACCAUAAGCCAUGCCUGCCAGGGUACAGACACGGCGCCAGAGGAUGGAGCGACAUUGCGAGCUGAAGCCCUGGUAGACUGUGUCAGAGUGAGUGAUGGCGGGGAGGCGUGGAGGAGAACAGCAGAGCCUGUGGGUUUCUACAAUGCUUUAUCUAGAUCAGAAUCUGUGCAAACCUCCUGUGUUGAGUGUUUCCUUGAACAUUUUUCAUAUUCAACAGAAACCAAAAUCUCAUUUUUAAGGCUAGAUUGUCCACCACCCCUAGUUAUGCAACGAAGGAUAUUUUUCAGUGUUGUGUUUUCAGACUCGAUGGGUACACAGUGAUUUGGUAUUUAAUUCUAAGCCCACUCAAUUCUUUCAGGAGAGGAUCACAAUCUUGUACGAAAGUGAUAUACCUAAUGGAAAAUUGCAAGUAUUGGCUUUUCACUGCCAUGUCUUUUUUCAUAGAGGGGAACUGAUAGACUCUGCUCCUUUAUUUCACAUUUCUGAGCACAGCUGCAAAAUCCUUUAUGAUUUGCUUCAGCACCUGCUUUGCUUAGCUCUUGAAGCUCUUCCACAUCUACCACAGAUACCAUGCAUCCCAAUCCUUUCAGUUUUCAUCUCCAAUAAACUGUGUCCAGGGAAGUGUGGUAGGGAGAGGGGAGUAGAGAGCCAUGGGCUGCAGUUCCACAUGUACAACCACUUCUAUGUUAGGCUUUGGAAACUGACUCCAAAUGAUAUCACACACAGAGUCACACAAACACACUGACAGGACAUCCGCCAUCCAUACAAGGCUAACUGUGCCCCAUGGCUGAUGGCUUUCUAGAAUAAACCCUGUGAUUUAUUUUGUGAAUAGCAUUUUUGUACGUAUUAAUGUUUUAAUAUAUACCAGGAUCUUCAUAAAAAAUUUUUAUGCCAUUUCCUUCAUUUUUAAAAAUCCAGGACUUUAGACUGGAAGUGGCUGAAAACCAUGUGAGUAAUAUUCUUUCAUACAUCCUUGCCCCGGCACUUGCCAAUUCCUUCCUGCCCUUUGCUGUUUUUAAAGCAUCAGCUCCUUCUUGCCUCUGGCCUGGGGUCAGAAUUUUUUCCUCUGCUCUCAGAGUACAUCUGAAUGGAACCCGUCACAUUCUGCAUUGUAUGUUUUCAUACAGGAGUAUUUACCCCUCUCACACACUGUGAGACACAAAGGCAGAACAUUACUUCUGUUAAACCUGAGUUGCCAAAGCAACAGGUCCUUUUCAUUCCCUUUCUAAAGCGCACAACUGGUAUUCAGGCGGCACUAACCGGUGUGACCAGCUGACAUGGCUUAGAAUUUCUACAGACCUCGUUGUCCCUGUGGAGUUGCAUCUUCAUCAAACGUCUACUGCACUUAUUCUCACAUCUUUAUGCCAGUUUUCCUAGUUACUGUAAGCAUGAAAUUCCAUUGAAUAUUAAACAAACAUAAAACAAGUAAAGCAGAAAUGCAUGUUCUAUUUCUGUGGAAGGUAUGCUGAAAGCUUUGGGAAAACUAAAUAAAGGAAAAUCACAAAUAAUCUUGUGAAAUUCGUUAUGGGAACAACCACUAUCCACAAUGGAGGGAAAGGAUUCUGUGCUCGGAUUGGUCACGGGUGUCUUCAAGUUUGCUCCAUCUUCGAGAAAUCACAGCUGAUAAGUAUGACAUAUGCAUGUUCUGAGAACAUGACAAGCGCUCCAAGCAACAGUUUCAGGCCAACAAGAAGUCUUGCUUUUACAUCCACAUACUGGCAAAUUAAUUUAAGGGACAAUAAAAUGUUUAAGAAUGCCUCUUAAACUUUCUUAGCAAACCUUUAGAGAUGAACUGACAAAUCUUUGGUAAAAGGCCUACUGAACUUUGUCCUAGCUCUUAAGGGUCACUAAGGCAGGGGAAAGAAGUCCAAACCAAACUGAAACUAAGGAAAGCAGGCCGUCCCUCUCUGAUGGCAAAACUGCAAUGUGCACCAAGUGGGCCCACAGCCCAGAGUCAGCUUGUAAAACCAUGGAACUGAUACAGGCUGAGAGAUGGAGACAGAAGCCCAGUCAGUUUAGGUCCAUUGGUGUCAUUCCCACAGCCAGACACACAGCUUUCAUUCUUGCACUGAUUACACCCAUGGCAUGUUAAAUUUUUAAAAUGCUGAAAUAUUAAAUAAAGAUUAUACAUUAAAAUAAAUAUUUUAUACAUUAAAUCAUUUCUAGUCAAUAUUAUUGGACAUCUCCUCUUUGCAGGCUCUAGCAAACAAACCAGGCCACAGCACAGGCCCUCCUGGAACUUAUGGGCAGUUCCCUAAUGGCUAGAAUAGAUUUCAAAUAUAAAUUUUAUAGUUAUUUUACAAUAAUAUUUAUAUUAAUGUAUUCAUUAUGCACUAAGGACUAGCUCCAAUGGGCAUUAAAGAAGGUUAGAAUAUUUUAAGAGAAUGGUCAUAACUCUUUGGUUAAAUGCCAGUGAGAAUAACUGUACACUCCAAAUCAUAUCCCCGUGCCAUUGUCAAACUCGGUCUUUGGUUUGGUGGAAUUAUAAGACUUAAUAAGUAAAGAAAUGUCCUAAAUUGGCAUGGUAUCAGUGUACCAGGAGUAGCCUCAUUUGGUCUGGUUGCUGCCAUGCAGCAGUGCUUGUAGAACUUUAGACCACGUGAGUCUGGAAGGGACCUACCUGAAGGAAGGGAAAGCACAGAGAAGGUAAGUGAGUCCCCCGUUCAGUGAGGUGGCACAGCCAGCAGCUCUGAGCCAGGCCUUUGGAUGCCUAGCAGAUCAUGAUUGUGUGGAAGUGCAUCAAAGGUGGCUUGUUACCAAUAAAAAAGUAGUGACACAUGAACAUUAUGCCUACAUCCACAAAUUAGAUCAAAUGUGUGAUUAUUCCUGUAAUGUGAUGCUCAUUUUAAUUCCAGGAUUUGUUCUUGAGCUGGAGAGAAAAGCAUCAGUCUCUUCCUUGCUAAUAAUGAGCCAGGAAUCGAAUCCUCCCUGGGAAGCCCUUGGGAGAGGGCUGUGCCUAUCAAUAUUACCAGCCAACCACCUCUUGUCACUGGGGAAAUCAAGGCUGAAAAUCAUGUGAGGUGGUUAAAAAAAAAUCCAGGACUGGGCUCCAGUAUCUUGAGAUUUAUAGAAGGUUUUGUUUUAAAAUCAAUUUAUAAUGAAGAAUAAGCUGAAUUCUCAAUCUUCAAACAACAAAAAAGAGAAAUCUUAACACAUGUUUAUUAAAUGGCCCAAGAGGAAGAAACCUAUAUGAACUGAAGCUGCAUCUGUUAUCUCUUUAGAAUCCUUUCUUCUGUCCCUUGAAGAACAAUCACACUGAUCCAGAGGGAAUUUUAUUUUGAUCCUUUGUAACAUAACUUCUGCUUAUUGCAAAAGAGAUUAACAUCUUGCCUGAACUCGGGCUUUGUAAUAUGAUGUUAGAACAUGUCAACUAGUGUCUUAUUCAGAUACCUCAAAUAAGCACGACACUAUGGACUGAGGCCUGCUCCCAUAAGCCUCAAGGUUCCAAAGCUUUCAGUGUCACCAUCGACAACAAAGCAGUCCACAAGCCCCUUGGAAAUGCUCAGACUGCCACAGCAUCCACCGUAGGCCUAUUUAUACUUCACAAUAAAAUCUAAUUUGUAGUUACUGCUGAGAGUUAGGCUGCCUUCAGCCAAAUUCCUAAAGAAAAUGAGGACCUCAGAAGUAAACUUCUUAAACUUCUUAAAACAAGCAUGCAAUCAAAAUUUCCAGCAGCUAUGGGGCUUCCUAAUUCAGCUAAUUUAAUACAUGCUACUCAGCAGUUUUAAGGAGAGAUAUUUUCUAGACUAUAGUGAGAUCUCUUACCAUUAAGGGGAAAAAUUUUGAAUAGAAUGUGAUUCAUAUAAUAUUAAUGACUCUGUCUAAUUUACAGUUUAGUAAUAAGGUUAUUUAUGCUGCCAGAAGCAUUUCAUGACAUUAGCGGUGGAAAGAUAGCGGCAGACAGGAAGGCCAGGCCAGCCCAGUGCCAUUUAGCAAAUGCAGAUCGGCAGCACCCUGCAAGGCUGCACAUGGGACUGUGGCCAAGGACAGUGACCUUGACACCACAGUUUUAUAUGACAUGCAGAAGAAGAGAGAGAGGCUAAGUCAAUCUCUGUCCCAUAUUUUGGAACAAAUGAAGAGCAAAAGUUGUCAUUUAGAUGAACACAGACUAGAUGGAGAUCAACUAGCUGCCUCACCUCAAAUUUACCUCUUUUGCAGAUCAAAUGAAUCCUUUCAAGUUUUAAAGUACAGAUUUUUAAACUAGUUCUUUGCACAUUGGCACAAGCUAUGCUCUUAACCAUGCUAUAUUCACAUGCGUAGAUGCACUGUCUGGUUACACACUGUUUUAUAUUCCUUUAUCUGUGAUAUUUUAUAUUGUUUCCUAUACUCAAUUCUAAGAAGUAAUAAACACAUCUCAUCCAGUGCUUCUCUAUCUCACCUGCCACAGUAGUAAAUAGAAGACUGAUGCUGAAGAAAUAUUUGUAAAUAAAGAAAUACAAUGGCAAAGUCUUGCCUGAGAAAAGCUUAUAAUAUAGUCAUUUUCCAUGAUCAGAUAUAAGUUCUACAAAAAGAAGGAAGUGAUGGCAUAAAUAAUUCAAAAUAGUGGAUAACUGGAAAGUCAUUGAUAUUGUACUUUGAAAUGCGUUAAGGCUGGCCACAAGUUUAUAGGGCCAUUUAUUGCACAGCCAGCAAAGGAUGAGCCUUGUGCUGUGUUAAGCAGAAAGAUGAAAAGGGCACGACAUACUUUGUCUACGCGCCACUCGUCCUCCAAUUCCUCAUAGCAUUCCAAUACCCUCCUAUGGGGCCUGCCCUGUUAGAUGCAGUGCUGCUGGACAGUGAUCUAGGCACCACUUCAGGCUCCUUCAUCUAAACUCCCUGCUCCUCCCUGGCCCACACAGGGGCUGGUUUAUCUCUUACACUCAGCCACUUACAUCCUCUUUUCCAGUACUUUGCAUUUCAGGCCCUGUCAUACAAAAGCAGAAAAGAAAGGGAACUCCCUGGCACUGAUGCCUACAUGGGCUGUUCACAGGGUCUGCUUCCAAGAACUUCUGGAGAUACCGAAGUGCUGCAAGUAUCGAGUAUGGUUCUUGUGAUUUACCUAUAGUUUCUAAUGAAUUCACUUAAUAGAAUUCAUUAAAGCGAUUUGCUAUUGUUUGUACCUUUCCUGCUGUGUGGGGCUAGUGCUUCCCUUAGAACUGUAGAAAGUGAAAUCCAGGUCGCAGGUGCAGAGUGCCACAGUAGAGUCUGAGAGGAGCCCAGGAGUAGAGGCAGGGUCAGAGAAGGUAUGGGAUAAGGAAGAAAGGUGCUGCUGUGCACUAGUCAAAGGGAAGCAGUAGGCAAGGGAUAAAGACAGGCAGGAAAUGCUGGCAACCACAGAAAGAAGCGCAUGAGCCCUGAAGUUUCAGAUUGCUGCAGCCUCUGAGCUAGCUGAGACCCUGGGGCCAGGGCCGGUUCUUAACCCUCAGCCCUGAGUAUGCUUCCAUGGAACUCUGUCACUUUAAAGAAGCCCUGUGUAUUCUUUCAAAACUUUCAAAAGCAAAAUAUACUGGCCAAGGUAUGGGCUCUGGGGCCCAAAUGCCUGAAUGCAAAUCUCAGUUCUUAUUUAAAUUUUUUUAUCUCUAAAUUGAGGCUAAUCGUACCUCAUAGGAUUUGGAUAAAAUUAUAACAUAAUAAUCCAAGCAUAGCUCUCAGUGCAAUGCCAUUCACCAUAUCCUACAAAAACUUUCCUCUCCGGUUGUCUUUACUUUCUCCCCUCCUCUUUCAGAGAGUCCAUGUUCCUGGGAGCUCAGGGCCUCUCCCUCAGCCCCUCCAGCAGCUGGGCCAGGCACUCUGAGCAGCCCCUGAGGGUGCCUCUUGGUCCUUCCUGACUUGAGAGGGGGCCUUAAACCCCUGUGGAGCAAACUGAGCCGCAGGGAAGAGAAGAGAGAGAGGCAGGUGGGGGAAACCCCUCCAUCCCCGUGUUGCUCCGGUGACCUGUCUUCGGGAGUCUCCAGCUGACUUGCUGAAGGACCCGCUUUCCAGUUUCCCUUCUUCCUCACUUGCACUUCCCUGCACCUCCCAAAUACUGAGAUUUUAAAAUUCCUCCUUGCUUUAAUUUCUACAUCCCAGAUCAAGACAACCGUUAUUAGGAUUGUUAUUACUUGAACCAAAUUUGUGGGUCUCCCUCACUUGAAACCAAAAUACCAAAAUAAAACAAUGGGGCAGAAUACACAUCUUACCGCAAAACCAGAUACUGAAAAACAGAAAAAGUGCUCAGCCACUCAGCACUGUGACCUAAGGAUUUUUUUAGAGGUUACUAAAGGUAUUUUUUUUCUUUUUGGUGCUGGGGAUUUGACCCAGGGCCUUAUGCAUGCUAAAUGUGCUAUUGCUGAGCUACACUUCCAGCCCACGAUGGUAAUUUUGAAGAAUAAACGCUUCUUAGAAUAGUUUACUAAUAACUAUAAUAACUUACAACAAGAUGCUUUCUGUUAAAAGCUCUGAUUUUUCAAGUAUAUGUAGAAACAAAUUCUUAGAAAAAUAAACAUUUAUCUCCCCCCUUCUUCCCUCCUGCACCUGAGAAAACUUCAUAGGCCAUUUACCUAUAUCUUCCCCAUAAAUUGAUGCUCAAAAUUUUAUCCUCUUGAAAAGAAGCCCAUGAAGGAUCAUAGUUUGCAU
rnacentral:lncRNA from 1 species